GGCUACACAUCUUGGAGAGAGAAGAGAGAAGAAAAGCUCAGGAAUCCAUUACAGAUUUUUUUUUAAGCAUCAUGCGAGACCCCCAUAAGAGAGAACUUUUAAUGUUUCAUAUUUUGAAGAUGCCAUAAAGAAGAAAGCAAGACAGAAUUUGAAGAAUUGGACAUCAAGCCUUCAUUUCCUUUCAGAGAGGGAACUGGGUAUCCAAGCCACUGUCAUCCCCUGCCGGGACUACUGUGGCAGUCUCCUGGCCACACUGGAGCCACUCUAGUACCCCAACACUACUUUAUCCAGGUGCAGCCAAAGAGACCUUUUGUAACGUAAAUGAGGUAAAUGAGAUUAUGUCACCCCUGCUUACAAUGGCCUCCUUCUGUGUAAAAUAAAGUCCAAAC
rnacentral:lncRNA from 1 species